UACGAAGGGGGCUAGCGUUGCUCGGAAUCACUGGGCGUAAAGGGUGCGUAGGCGGGUCUUUAAGUCACUUGUGAAAUCCCGGGGCUCAACUCCGGGGCUGCAGGUGGAUACUGUCGGGCUCGAGUCCGGAAGAGGAGUGUGGAAUUCCUGGUGUAGCGGUGAAAUGCGCAGAUAUCAGGAGGAACACCAAUGGCGAAGGCAGCACUCUGGGACGUGACUGACGCUGAGACGCGAAAGCGUGGGGAGCAAACAGG
rnacentral:rRNA from 1 species